CUGGUGUGAAGGCUGAUUGGACACUCUUAGGGUUGAUGGGUCAUUCUGCUGGCAAUGAUAAUAUAUUGAAAGUUAUUGAAAGAAAUGAAACCUUAGCUAAAGUUAGUUGUAAAUUGUCUUUUUGUUUGAGUCCUUCUCUCAUGCAGGCUGUGUCAUUUAUUGAGCCAAUGAGCUAUUCAUUUGAAAAGGAGCUGUCGUAUUCCCUCCCUUCCCUCUGCUACGGGACCCAGUACUCUGAAGAGAACCCAAAGUGUAUUUAUGCUGACUUUGACUACAGACACUUUUAUAAUAAACUUCACUGCCCUAGGAUACAGAUGAGUGCUGUGGAAUAUGGUCAUUGUGAUAUUCUCAAUGAUUCCGGCUGGGAAUUAUGUCAUGUGUCACAUUCCUGCAAGACUAACACAACCAAUGAUCGAGUUCUCUAUCACAGGUUCAUAUCAGGACUAAUCACUGGAUUCUUUGGAUAUUACUUGCAAGACAGUCCCCCAUUGCUGUCUUAUCUUACUAAUCUUACUAAUAUACCAGUUGCUUUGGAGAACUUUAAAUACGACAUUAAAUGUUAAUCUUUGAUGAUACAUAAACAAAGAAUGAUUUUAUAUUAUUAUUAUAAAUUUUAGUUUUGCUUGUGUAAUGUUUAUAAUUCAGUUCAUUUCGAUGGUGCAUUCCCUUGUGUAAACGUUAGCGUUAUUUUGUGAAUUGACUGCAUUCACUUUCAAUAUGCUACCUACCAUUUACUCAAACGUAACUGUUGAAGAAGUCUUCUCUUGUACAUUUUAUUGAAAAUGGGUCAGUUCACUUUGUAAAGUUGUUUAAUUCAUUUUCCUUUAGCUUGUAAGGAGUUGAGCACUGAGUAUCUCAUUGAAGAAAAGGUAAGUGAGAGAGAGAGAGAGGGAGAAGUAUUGUUUAAUUUGUAGGUUGCAACUGGGAGACCGCCAACUAAAUACCAUCAAAAAAGAAAUCAAAAGGGUGGACAUAGCCACAGUCCUUCAAAAUAUGGCUCAGUUCAAGGUGAUGUUGUCGUUUCUUCAUAUUACAAUGGAAAGCCUCAAAAUGUCAACAAACUCAUUCCUCACUUCUAUCUUGUCUUAGCACUGAUACUCUCAGUUCUAUUCAGCUUCACUGGAGUAUUGGCCUUUGCUUUAGUCUUUACCAUACCUGCAGCAAUUUAUGCAAGAAAGGCUAUCAGAACUAGAGAUGAUCAGCUAAGAAGAUCAAGAUUGAAGUGUUCAAUUUAUUGCAGCAUAACUGGAUGUGUCGUAGGAUCUUUGUCUGGUCUUGUAGUUUUUUCUGGAAUCAUUGGCCUCCUCUGUACAAUCACCAUACUCCUCUUUAGAUUCAGCAUAUGCAAUCAGAUUGUUUCUAAAAAUUCUCAUGUAGAUUCGCAAUUUUUUCAUUUUACUGUAAACUUUAAAAGUUUAAUAUGUAAUGCAACAACUGAAGGGAAUUAGAUACUACACAUUGUGUUUCUUGUUAAAAAUAAAUAUAUAAUUUUUAUACUAUACAUUGUAUGAACAUAAAAGAAUCACCAUUGCCAUAUAAGGAAGUGUUGUACUACAGUAUUCAGAUCAAUAGUUACUGUGAAUGUGUGUUAAGAUCAACUAUCAACAGUAGCUACACUGCUAGUCUGAGUCAGCAGCUUAUGAUGGCAGGUCAGUGAGCAUUAACUCAUAAAUCACUUUUCACUCAUGCCCAGCAGGUCAACCACUUCUAUAUAACAAUGGACACCAUCAGGUUAGUACAAUAUGAUUAUUGUGUCCUUAGUAUGCUGAGUCAGUAGUAUCCUCAUUACAAUGGAGUCCAGUAUCCUCCACCACCAGCAGGAGGUACUAGACUAUAACAGUCCCUUAGUACAAUCCCAUUUUACCAGCAGGUCAAUAUGGAGGGGUCUAUCAUCCAGUACCUGUCCAUCCUCCCCACCAACCACCUGGACCUUACUAUGACCCUCGUUACCACGGUUACAAUCAGGGACCCCCUCCUCCUAUACCUGAUAUAUAUAGACCAGUCUUACCUGAUGGUGAUGAUGAUAAUGAAACUGAUGAUGCUCAAAGGCCAAUCGUUAAUCUACCUGCAGCUGUUACAUGCCCUAGAGGUGCUGUACCAUUACCUAAACAAGAAAAAGUUAGUACAUACAUAUGUGCAUCAACCACCUGCUGUAUCAUAUCAAUACUUUUACUAAUGGUACCAGUUAUACCAUUCACAUUCUGUGCUCUCAUUUGCUCAAUUGCUGCCAUUAAACAGGAGAACAAGAUGAAGUAUGUGUCUGCUCAUAAGAAAGGAUCCUGUGCUCUUGGUUGUAUGAUAGUUGCUGUUCCCGUUGGGAUUGGCUGGGCUGUUGUGACUGUGGUUGUAAUAUUCUUUGAAGUUUUAGGCAGGAUUAAUUUUUAAUUAACUAGGCCUAGUCUAGUAAAUAAUAACUGAUCUUUUAAUUAACUUGUUGUGGGCGUGUACUCAAAAUGGCCACCAAGGGCUCGUUGGAGGAAAGAUACAAAAAAAGAAAGCAGAAGCAAAAGGAGCUGUCCCUGAAACUAUCAACUAACCCAUUCGAUCAAGAAGGGGAGCAGCAGGAAGAGCAGCAAGAAGAGACAGCACUGGUCUCUCAGCCAACUGAAGUGCAGGAAACAUCAUUCCAGCCUUCACCUUACCCAGCACUAGUGGAUGAGCUCAGGAGCAGCAGUAGAAGUCGGUAUAGGACAUUCUCCAGUAGCAGCAGGUACAGGAGCAUUCCACCACAGAGAAAGGGUUCUGCAUGGAGUCUUUGUCUUAUUGUUUCAGUUAUUUUUGGAAUUAUUUGUCUCAUUCCAGCUCCGAUAUGCUCAGCUGCUAGUCUAGUGUUUGCUGUACAGGCAGUUGAGGCAGAAAAACAGCAUAACUUUAGAAGAAGAUACACAAAAGAGAAAUGGUCCCUUAGUUGCUGCCUCUUGAGUGUUAUUCUUGGUACACUCUGCUUAGCUGUAGUGUCUCUGAUAUUUGCAGCUGUAGAAACUAACAAAUUUAUUUCAAAUACUGACUCUUGACUAUUAUGAAUAAUUUAUUGUUUUUAAUUAUUGUUUUUACUAAUUAUUGUUUUAUUUUGCUGUAAAGAGAGUGAUAAGAAAUAACUAAUCAUAGCA